rnacentral:rRNA from 1 species
UACAGAGGUCCCAAGCGUUGUUCGGAUUCAUUGGGCGUAAAGGGUGCGUAGGCGGCGCGGUAAGUCGGGUGUGAAAUCUCGGGGCUUAACUCCGAAACUGCAUUCGAUACUGCCGUGCUUGAGGACUGGAGAGGAGACUGGAAUUCACGGUGUAGCAGUGAAAUGCGUAGAGAUCGUGAGGAAGACCAGUGGCGAAGGCGGGUCUCUGGACAGUUCCUGACACUGAGGCACGAAGGCCAGGGGAGCAAACGGG